CAUCUUACGCUUAGGGCAAUGUCGCAGUUAGUGAGGUAAUAAGUGAAGCACGUCUAUUGUUGGUUGAAAACUAUUUCUAAACCCCUUCUUUGGCCGGGGCUCUGUCUAUGCCAUAAAGAAUUUCUGGAAGGGCUCCCCACAGGGUAAAACC
rfam:Cephalotus follicularis DNA, scaffold: scaffold3136, isolate: St1.